rnacentral:rRNA from 1 species
UACGAAGGGGGCUAGCGUUGCUCGGAAUCACUGGGCGUAAAGCGCACGUAGGCGGCUUUCUAAGUCAGGGGGUGAAAUCCUGGAGCUCAACUCCAGAACUGCCUUUGAUACUGGAGAGCUUGAGUCCGGAAGAGGUGAGUGGAACUCCGAGUGUAGAGGUGAAAUUCGUAGAUAUUCGGAAGAACACCAGUGGCGAAGGCGGCUCACUGGUCCGGUACUGACGCUGAGGUGCGAAAGCGUGGGGAGCAAACAGGAGUUAGAUAC